GACGGAGGGUGCUGGCGUUGUUCGGAAUCACUGGGCGUAAAGGGCGCGUAGGCGGCCUUGCAAGUCGGUUUGUGAAAGCCCGGGGCUCAACCCCGGAGGUGCGGCCGAGACUGCAGGGCUGGAGGCCGGAAGAGGAGGGUGGAAUACCCAGUGUAGAGGUGAAAUUCGUAGAUAUUGGGUGGAACACCGGUGGCGAAAGCGGCUCUCUGGUCCGGACCUGACGCUGAGGCGCGAAAGCGUGGGGAGCAAACAGG
rnacentral:rRNA from 1 species